UUUUUUUUGCAGUUCGUAUACAUGAUGAUUGGGUGUUCACAGUAUCAUGAGAGAUGUGCCUCUCCCAAACCUUAUUUACUACAUCAGCACAUACCCAUGUGAUG